UACGUAGGGUGCGAGCGUUAAUCGGAAUUACUGGGCGUAAAGCGUGCGCAGGCGGUUUUGUAAGCCAGAUGUGAAAUCCCCGGGCUUAACCUGGGAAUGGCAUUUGGGACUGCAAGGCUUGAGUGCGGCAGAGGAGACUGGAAUUCCUGGUGUAGCAGUGAAAUGCGUAGAUAUCAGGAGGAACACCGGUGGCGAAGGCGGUUCUCUGGGCCGAUACUGACGCUGAGGAGCGAAAGCGUGGGGAGCGAACAGG
rnacentral:rRNA from 1 species